rnacentral:lncRNA from 1 species
UACCAGUGUACGUUCACACAGGCAAUGCUGGGUGGGUGGAGCCUUUUCUCCACCCGUAUCUGCGGCUGACACCAGAGCUCGAGGCAGUGCUGGAUCCUUAACCCCCUCAGCGAGGCCAGGGAUCAACCCCGCAAGCUCGUGGCUCCUAGUUGGAUUCAUUUCCGCUUUGCCCCGACGGGAACUCCUGGGUGGUUUCUUUGUUGUUGUUGUUGAGGUGUAUGAGUUUUCUUUAUAUAUGUUUUGGAGGUGAACCUCACGGGCAGUGGUCCCUUUCUCCUCAGUGCUUCUGUAGAGCUGCUGUCCACAGUGUGCCAGCCACUGGCCAGAAGGAGCCAUUUCUGCUUAAUUGAGUUCAGUCAGUAGUUAGGUCUGCCUCUUGCAGUGAACAGAAUAAAGCAGCCUAUGGUUCACUCCCAGGGGCCACCACACAAGUGUGUCCAUGCAGCUGGAAUUUCAGGUGUGUCACCCUGGAGCUGAGGCCUCCAGAUGGACUCGUAGAAGGGAGAUGUGUAAGGCUCCAUCCCUCAGCAGCCCACGAUCUCUGAAGGUUUGCCACUGUGGCCAAUGUUUUAUGGAAGCUUCUGAGGCCGUAGAGCAGAGGGAAGUUCUGAGCACACGGAGGACAAGCCAGGGUGGUGCUGUGUGGCCGCAAACAACCCUAAGUAGGGGAUACGUGUGGGGGACAGGCUCUAACACCUUGAUUCCUUAUGUCUGUGUCUCUGCAGUAUGUUUCAUGGAGAGUCUGAGUGACAGCAACCAUGAUGAAAGUGAUACAGACUCAGUGGUGGAGAGCCUGAGCAGCCGCCAGGAUGAGGAGGCUGCAGGUAGGGAAGAGCACGCAGCUGGGAUCCAGUGGGAGAGGGUUCCUGGGAGCACCUGGGUUCCGCCUGCUGCCGGGAGAGGGAGGAAGUGGGGGAUAGGACUUGGCGGGUGGGUGGGUGGGUGGCCUAAUGAGUGGCACUCUGCUGUGGUGUUUUCCCCUGUGAAAUGGAUACCACGAAGAAGACAUGGGUCCCUGGUCUUUGUUGUGCUGUGUUUGUAUUCCUCUCUCCUUCCUUUGAGAGGGAGAAUCGAUUUUCCCUGCCAAAGCUGCUCCUUCCUGCUUUGGUCUCUGCCCAUUGUGCAAGUUUGCUUUGUGAUUUGCACCGUGAGGGCCCAGUGCACAAGAGCUGUUGACUUGGUUUCCUUUAUUGGCCUUGAGGGACCUGAAGUGGUGGCACCCAAAGCUCUCCUAGGCCCUUGACCCUGGAGACCAAGUUGGUCGAGUGAGUGUCAGGUGGUGGGUGAGAAGGCAGCUCUCUGGCUCUGCAUGUUUGGGAUUUCUGGCCUCCCUGUCUUGUUGUGUCCUCACGGUGUGUCCUGAGGGAAGGGAUGUUCGCAGAGUUGGAUGAGUUAAAGGAGGCAUACUUGGAGUUCCCGUAGUUAACGAAUCCAACUAGGAACCAUGAGAUUGCGGGUUCAACCCCUUGCCUCACUCGGUGUGUUGAAUAUCCAGCAUUCUUGUGAGCUAUAGUGUUUGUCGCAGAUACAGCUUGCCUCCUGUAUUUCUGUGGCUGUGGUUUAGACUGGCAGCUGCAGCUCCCAUUUCGUCCCUAGCCUGGGAACUUCCAUAUCCUGCCAGAGUUGCCCUGGAAUAAAGAAAAUGACAAAAAUACUCUCA